AAGAGAGAGAGAGAGAGAGAGAGGCAAAGAGAGAGAGAGGCAAAGAGAGAGCGGGCUUUGAGAGAACUAUUGACUUUUCUAAACACAACAUUUUCAGACUUACACAAUAUUUCCAGCACUUAAAUUCCGACAGAAUACAAUAACAAAAGUACACUUGACUUACCUUGAGAGACAGAGAAGACAUGAACAGAGUGGUGUGCUCAUCUUCUUCAUGGUCGCCAUCACUGCUGUGCAGGGACAAAAAUCAGGUUGAGAUGGUUUCUAUGGCUUCUUUGUUCAAAUCAGUUGUCCUAUAUUUACAUUUAUUACAAUGUAGAGAUUGAUUGUAUUAAACAAAAAAUAUAUGGUUUAGUUAUAUAUUGAAAGUAUUUACAGUUCUUCUCAAUAGUGUACAAGCAAUUCCGGUAUCUGUGUUAAAACAUAUCCAUAGUAGAACAUCAAUGAUCAAAUGCUCAAAUAGAUGUACAGAACUUCUGAUCGUUUUAUUGCCUUAGUACCUGACUUGCAUAUCUUACACCACCUUUUGCAAAACGUUAAAUACAAAUGUCAUCAGUGAAUAAAAAACUCACUGUCUAGUGUUCAGUUCAAGAAUAUUAACACAUUGUUUUCAUCAGAAGAUAAAUGUUUCCUGCAAUCAGUCAUACCAUGUACAAUAUAUGGAAAGAUCUAGGCAAUGGGAACUGUGUAAUUGUUAUGAAUUUACACAAUAUUGCAGACAAUGAAGUUGGGUUACCUUUACAUAACCGUGGGUUACUCCUAAGUCAUCAUAGCCGACAUUGUGUCCUUUCAUUAUAGAGCUUUGCUUUAAUGUGGAUUUAGGCCUAUACAUUCAUAUCAAGUGUGUUCCUCCAUUGUCCUCAACCUUCCAUAUUUCUAUUGUGGAUUGUGUUUCAGUGCACCAAUUAAAUGUCUACAAAAGUAUAACCUUUGCAUUGAAUACAUGGAAUUGGAUUGUGAUGAUGCCCAUGAACGAAUCCUGCACACAAUGUGCAUUUAAAAAAAAAAUCUGGAAUAAUAUUUUGUGUAUGAAAUUGUUUGGAGAAAUAUGUGUCAAAGGAGAAUGGUUCCCCAUAAUUCUGCACUUUUGGACAGUUGUACUCAAAUGUUUUAUCAUCAUGAUUAAGUGACUGCAAAGAACAUGUAUUGAUCUACUGGGAUUUUUUAAAGACAGACUAACUUUCUGUUCUGUCUGCUUGGAAUCAAGAGAUAUGUAUAGUUGUGUCUAUCUUUUUGCAGGCAGUCGUGUUCUUUGGAUAAAUGUAUUUGCAAUUUUGACGGUAUAAUGUAGUUUUGAUACGUGUACUGUAUAUGUUUUGAGAAGGCAACUACAUUGACUGUUUUCCAACAGGCCACAGAGUUCUGUGUCUUGUGGACUCUGUUUUGAAGAUCGACAACAUUGUUACAAACAACUGCUUGUACAUGAUUGAGAAAAACUGUAGUGUUGAAUGUCUUGUUUGGUGUCAAUUCAAUAAUUCAAUGUUAGUUUAAAAAAAAAAGUUAGCUGUGAAGUAAAUACUUUUUCUUAUGCAUUAAAUAAAUAAAUGUAAAGAGUACGUGGUAAUGUCAAUAGUUGUUUGUUUCAGGGUGUGUAUCCUUCUUGAGAAACAUUGUUACUAAGACAUGUCCCGGGGGGUGAAUUAACGAAAAAAGAUGACUCCUCAUUUACAUUAGAUAAGAGUGAUAAAAGCAAAGGAAAUAUAUACACCCAUUGACACCCAUACACCCAUUAACUCAUCUUCUUCUUCCUUCUUCCCUUCAUACACCCAUGUUUUAACACAAGUUGACUACUAACCCUACCUGUAUUGUUUUUGGUGUUGCAGUGUGUGAGAACUGCGUUGAGCUGGAUGCGACUCUGGUUACCGGGGCUAUUGUUGGGGACCUGCUGGUGACAGGAGGGGUCAUUUUCAUUGUGUAUAGCUGGGCUCAGAAGAAGUCUGGACCUGCUGCACCCCAAAAACGUAACGCUGUUACCAUCUGAUUAUCCAUCAGCCAACAGUGGCACUUGGUGAUAGGGAGCGCUCUCAACUAUUUAAUUUGACCAUACCCAGGACUACUCGACAGCAAAAGACGUACCGCUCAGCAGGCCGUGGUCCCCCAGUGGUGCCAAGUCCAGACUGUGAGCGUGGCAACCUGCAGCAGAGAUAUCUACGCUACCCACAGGACUGGGUAGACUAUCCUCUCACCAGACCACACCUGUUCUCUAGGACCCCUCUGAUGCCCUGGACCAGCAGGCCUCAGCUCACCCUGCCAUCAAAGAGGAGGGGAGAAGGCUCUGUAGUUCUUAGCAGAGACUUAAAGAGCUUCUUAUUUGAGCUUGAUGUGUAAAAAAUGUGAUAUCAUGAUUUAGUUCAAACUAUAGUUCAGAAUUACUGCAACUAGCGAUAAUAGUGAUCAACAUAGUGUUGCUCUGGAAAAUAGAGACAUAAAGGGAGGAAGAUCUUUGUAACGGCUUUUAGAUGUUUGCUGUACUGAAAAACAACUUGUACAUAUCUGUGUAGAUCAACUGUUGUAAAAUGGUAUCAAUGAUUGCAGAUGUCAAGUUCUUCCUCCUCACAAUGUUAAUGCUGCCUGUAUAUACACUGAGUGUACAAAACACCAUCCUAAUAUUGAGUUGAACCCCCUUUUGCACUUAGAACAGCCUCAAUACAUUGGGUUAUGGACUACAAGGUGUCGAAAGCGUUCCACAGGGAUGCUGGCCGAUGUAGACUCCAAGGCUUGCCACAGUAGUGUCAAGUUGGCUGGAUGUUCUGUGGGUGUUGGACCAUUCUUGAUACACACAGGACACUGUUGUCUUGCCCAUUCACCCUCUGAAUGGCACACACACAAUCCAUGUCUCAAUCCAUGUUAAAGCUUAAAAAUCCUUCUUCAACCUGUCUCCCUUCAACUGCACUGAUUGAAGAGGAUUUAACAAGUGAAGUCAAUAAGGGAUCACAGCAUUCACCUGGAUUCACCUGGUCAGUCUAUGACAUGGAAAGAGCAGGUGUUCUUAAUGUUUCGUGCAGCUAGCGUAUUAGCACAUAUACAGUGGGGCAAAAAAGUAUUUAGUCAGCCACCAAUUGUGCAAGUUCUCCCACUUAAAAAGAUGAGAGAGGCCUGUAAUUUUCAUCAUAGGUACACUUCAACAACAACAGAAAAUCACAUUGUAGGAUUUUUAAUGAAUUUAUUUGCAAAUUAUGGUGGAAAAUAAGUAUUUGGUCACCUACAAACAAGCAAGAUUUCUGGCUCUCACAGACCUGUAACUUCUUCUUUAAGAGGCUCCUCUCUCCUCCACUCGUUACCUGUAUUAAUGGCACCUGUUUGAACUUGUUAUCAGUAUAAAAGACACCUGUCCACAACCUCAAACAGUCACACUCCAAACUCCACUAUGGCCAAGACCAAAGAGCUGUCAAAGGACACCAGAAACAAAAUUGUAGACCUGCACCAGGCUGGGAAGACUGAAUCUACAAUAGGUAAGCAGCUUGGUUUGAAGAAAUCAACUGUGGGAGAAAUUAUUAGGAAAUGGAAGACAUACAAGACCACUGAUAAUCUCUCUCGAUCUGGGGCUCCACGCAAGAUCUCACUCCAUGGGGUCAAAAUGAUCACAAGAACGGUGAGCAAAAAUCCCAGAACCACACGGGGGGACCUAGUGAAUGACCUGCAGAGAGCUGGGACCAAAGUAACAAUGCCUACCAUCAGUAACACACUACGCCGCCAGGGACUCAAAUCCUGCAGUGCCAGACGUGUCCCCCUGCUUAAGCCAGUACAUGUCCAGGCCCGUCUGAAGUUUGCUAGAGAGCAUUUGGAUGAUCCAGAAGAAGAUUGGGAUAAUUUCAUAUGGUCAGAUGAAACCAAAAUAGAACUACUUAAUUGUGAGCCACUAUGACACAAAGGAAAUGUUUGUUUUAUGAAGUGUAGUGUCAUGCGAUUAAAGAGUCUAGCUAGUUUGCGGUUCUUUAUCUUCAGUCGGCUGUCAUGCCUUAAGCCGCAGAUGCCUGCACCCCUUACGCUUACUGGAAAUGAUGGUGGAUGAUUGGCCAGGUCUCUCUGUUGCUAAUCAUGAGGAUCUCAUCGGAAACACGUCACAUAUGAGUGUAGGCAGACUUUACUUACCCGCAUCAGUGGAAAGAAAACUUCUUUUUUUUUCCCUUACACUAACUUUGUGUUGCAAGAAUGUAGUGAAAAUAAUGUCUACUGGAUGUAUUUUUUAAAAAUCGUUUGACAAGAAUAAAGACCUUCUUACAACA